rnacentral:rRNA from 1 species
UACGUAGGGGCCUAGCGUUGUCCGGAUUUAUUGGGCGUAAAGAGCUCGUAGGCGGUUCGGCAAGUCGGAUGUGAAAUCCCCAGGCUUAACCUGGGAACUGCAUCCGAUACUGGAUGGCUUGAAUCCGGGAGAGGGAUGCGGAAUUCCAGGUGUAGCGGUGAAAUGCGUAGAUAUCUGGAGGAACACCGGUGGCGAAGGCGGCAUCCUGGACCGGCAUUGACGCUGAGGAGCGAAAGCCAGGGGAGCAAACGGG